UGGGGAAUCCUGCGCAAUGGGCGAAAGCCUGACGCAGCCAUGCCGCGUGAAUGAUGAAGGUCUUCGGUUUGUAAAAUUCUUUCACCGGGGACGAUAAUGACGGUACCUGGAUAAGAAGCCCCGGCUAACUUCGUGCCAGCAGCCGCAGUAAUACGAAUGGGGCUAGCGUUGUCCGGAUUUACUGGGCGUAAAGGGAGCGUAGGCGGACAUUUAAGUCAGAGGUGAAAUCCCGGGGCUCAACCUCGGGAUUGCCUUUGAUACUGGGUGUCUUGAGUGUGAGAGAGGUAAGUGGAACUCCGAGUGUAGAGGUGAAAUGCGUAGAUAUUAGGAAGAACACCAGUGGCGAAGGCGACAUACUGGAUGAUAACUGACGCUGAGGCUCGAAAGCGUGGGGAGCAAACA
rnacentral:rRNA from 1 species